rnacentral:rRNA from 1 species
UACAGAGGGGGCAAGCGUUGUUCGGAAUUACUGGGCGUAAAGGGCGCGUAGGCGGCCUGUUAAGUCGAACGUGAAAUCCCCGGGCUCAACCCGGGAACUGCGUCCGAUACUGGCAGGCUUGAAUUCGGGAGAGGGAUGUGGAAUACCCAGUGUAGAGGUGAAAUUCGUAGAUAUUGGGUGGAACACCGGUGGCGAAAGCGGCUCACUGGCUCGGUUCUGACGCUGAGGCGCGAAAGCGUGGGGAGCAAACAGG